CUGGCUCCUGGGUGGCAUGUUCACCCUAAAGCAGAGAUCCCACAUUCUGGAGGGCUUCGGUGUCUGCAGGCUCAACCGGCAGGUAAUUUAGGAUUUUGAGAACAUGGAGUGGCGUGGACACUCCCCAGUUUACUGAAGAAAAUCUACCUCAUUCAGCCAGAGUGAUGGUCCGGCUCAACCUGUUCACUUCCUGGGAGGCCAACGCUUGAGAGGCCAUCAGAACUGAGAGACAGGAGUGAUGCAUCGUGGGUAAGAUGUUUGCUAAAGAGGUUGUCUUUCAUUAUUCAUGCGCCCACUCCCGUAAUGAAGACACAAAUUGUUCUCUUCCCUCUCCACCUCACCUGAUGUGUGGUGAGCGUUCUGGUGCAAAAUGGCUGCCGUGCAUCACCCAGAUGGGUAGCUGAGGUGAGUUUCCCCGUGAUCACUGUAAAGCACUUCGAGU